UUACGGUCAUAUCACGCUGAAACACCGGUUCUCGUACUGUCACCGAAGUUAAGCAACGUUGAGCCUCGUUAGUACCUAGAUGGGUGAAGGCUUAGGAAUACCAGGAGCU